GGGGCAGACCUGGGCUAGCAGGGCCCAGGGAGAACUCCAAGGGUGUCUGUGUCAGCACACCGAAACCAGGCUACGACAAUGGCAACCACCAAUGUCCCAGUCCCUGGAGAGGUCUCACCUCUCACUGCAAUGCACUCAGAGGCUAUCAGGUAGUUCCUUGAGGAUGUAUUCCAGUAAAAUGAGGAAAUAAAUCAAGAAAGAGGAGAACAUGAGUCCAAGAAGUAAAGACAGAGCAGGAAGAUGAGAUUCUGUGGAACUCUCCUUGUCCAUCAGACUGACUUCCAUGAUUAAAUGCAAUGCCACUGGACUGCUUGGGUUCAGAGAAUUUAUACUUGCUGAUCUCCUGAUCCAGAUAAUCAUCUAUAUUGUCUAUUUUUUUCUACUUUGUAUAUUAGGAUUCAUGCCAGAAGGUCUUUAGGGUAAUUCAAACCAGCUUUCUUUGGAGACUGUCACCUUGCCAAUAUCCCUUGCCUUCAUAGAUAUUCUUCCUAGCCCAGUCUCACGUUUUUAUCUUCAGCCAGUGCCUGAUUUCCACUUGCAUGGGCUAUUGUGAUAACCUUCUAAGUGGUCUUUCCCCCUUCAAUUUCUAAACUUUUAUGCUAUUACUUUGGUUAAAAACUCCCCUCCCUAUCCAAACCAUAGGCUAUGCCUGUGGAAAAGUUUAAAUU